rnacentral:rRNA from 1 species
AUGCGGCGAGCCACCCAUCCAUCCCAGCCGAGCGACCUGCGAUGCCUGACGGGAUGGGCGCCGGCGCCGGAGCCGCACACGGACCAACCUGGCCACGCCCGGCUCCGGUCGGAGCACGCGCGCCAAGUGCUUCACGAUGAUUCAUUCCCCCGCGGCAAAGCCCACCAUCUCAAACAAACCCGUGUUCUUCUCCGUUGGUGCCGUGCCGUGUGCCAUCACCACCAGUCCACCACACUGCCAAAUUCCUUCCUUAUUCGUGUGCACUUUGAGACAGCAAACAGGGUGACAAUUUCUCCACCAUGUCAACCAGAAAACGCAUCAAAAAUCACUCUCAAAAAACAGGAAGACACGCACCAGAAACACCACAUGAUCAGCAUGCGCUCGCCCGCGAAAGGCAGAACAAACAGGGAAUCCUGCAAAGGGAAUUUCUGUUUCGCCCAAGUCAUCUACUCAUCCACACACCCCAAAAAGUCAUUCCAGAAGGCCAGGUGA